UACGGAGGGUGCGAGCGUUGUCCGGAAUCAUUGGGCGUAAAGCGCGCGUAGGCGGCCCGAUAAGUCUGCUGUGAAAGUCCAGGGCUCAACCCUGGAAUGCCGGUGGAUACUGUCGGGCUAGAGUUCGGAAGAGGCAAGUGGAAUUCCUGGUGUAGCGGUGGAAUGCGCAGAUAUCAGGAGGAACACCUAUAGCGAAGGCAGCUUGCUGGGACGACACUGACGCUGAGGCGCGAAAGCGUGGGGAGCGAACAGG
rnacentral:rRNA from 1 species